GUCCACGCCCUAACGAUGUCAACUGGUUGUCGGGAAGCAAUUCCUUGGUAACGAAGCUAACGCGUGAAGUUGACCGCCUGGGGAGUACGGCCGCAAGGUUAAACUCAAAGGAAUUGACGGGGACCCGCACAAGCGGUGGAUUAUGUGGAUUAAUUCGAUGCAACGCGAAACCUUACCUACCCUUGACAUGUACGGAACCCCGCAGAGAUGCGGGGGUGCCCGAAAGGGAGCCGUAACACAGGUGCUGCAUGGCUGUCGU
rnacentral:rRNA from 1 species